rnacentral:rRNA from 1 species
UACAGAGGUCUCAAGCGUUGUUCGGAUUCAUUGGGCGUAAAGGGUGCGUAGGCGGCGCGGUAAGUCGGGUGUGAAAUCUUGGAGCUUAACUCCGAAACUGCAUUCGAUACUGCCGUGCUUGAGGACUGGAGAGGAGACUGGAAUUUACGGUGUAGCGGUGAAAUGCGUAGAUAUGCGGAGGAACACCGAUGGCGAAGGCAGCUCUCUGGGACGGUACUGACGCUGAGACGCGAAAGCGUGGGGAGCGAACAGG